UCUUGAGUAACUAAUUAAUUAAUAAGUGUUGAACUUUUGAUUCAAUAAUGGCCUCAGGCCCCAAGGU
rnacentral:tRNA from 1 species